rnacentral:rRNA from 1 species
AUUGAACGCUGGCGGCAGGCCUAACACAUGCGAGUCGAGCGGAUGAAGGGAGCUUGCUCCUGGAUUCAGCGGCGGACGGGUGAGUAAUGCCUAGGAAUCUGCCUGGUAGUGGGGGAUAACGUCCGGAAACGGGCGCUAAUACCGCAUACGUCCUGAGGGAGAAAGUGGGGGAUCUUCGGACCUCACGCUAUCAGAUGAGCCUAGGUCGGAUUAGCUAGUUGGUGGGGUAAAGGCCUACCAAGGCGACGAUCCGUAACUGGUCUGAGAGGAUGAUCAGUCACACUGGAACUGAGACACGGUCCAGACUCCUACGGGAGGCAGCAGUGGGGAAUAUUGGACAAUGGGCGAAAGCCUGAUCCAGCCAUGCCGCGUGUGUGAAGAAGGUCUUCGGAUUGUAGAGCACUUUAAGUUGGGAGGAAGGGCAGUAAGUUAAUACCUUGCUGUUUUGACGUUACCAACAGAAUAAGCACCGGCUAACUUCGUG